GGAUUAGAUACCCUGGUAGUCCACGCCGUAAACGAUGUCUACUUGGAGGUUGUGCCCUUGAGGCGUGGCUUCCGGAGCUAACGCGUUAAGUAGACCGCCUGGGGAGUACGGCCGCAAGGUUAAAACUCAAAUGAAUUGACGGGGGCCCGCACAAGCGGUGGAGCAUGUGGUUUAAUUCGAUGCAACGCGAAGAACCUUACCUGGUCUUGACAUCCACAGAASWWUCCAGAGAUGGAYUKGUGCCUUCGGGAACUGUGAGACAGGUGCUGCAUGGCUGUCGUCAGCUCGUGUUGUGAAAUGUUGGGUUAAGUCCCGCAACGAGCGCAACCCUUAUCCUUUGUUGCCAGCGGUCCGGCCGGGAACUCAAAGGAGACUGCCAGUGAUAAACUGGAGGAAGGUGGGGAUGACGUCAAGUCAUCAUGGCCCUUACGACCAGGGCUACACACGUGCUACAAUGGCGCAUACAAAGAGAAGCGACCUCGCGAGAGCAAGCGGACCUCAUA
rnacentral:rRNA from 1 species